UAAUAAUAAUAAUAAUAAUAAUAACAGGAAAAUAAUACAAGUAAUAAUAAAUAGAGUAAAAUAAUAAAUGCAAUAAUAAUAAUAAUAUCAGAGUGAAAUAAUAAACAUGUUAAUAAUAAUAAUAAUAAAAAUAGAGAAAUAAAUGUAAUAGUAGCAACAAUAAUAGAGAAAAAUAAUAAAUGUAAUAAUACCAAUAAAAAUAGAGAAAAAUAAUAAAUGUACCAUCUAUUCUUGAAUAUAAGCUGACCCAAAUAUAAGCCAACCAGGACCCUCACCCAAGUAUAAGCCGAGGGGGGCUUUUUCAGUCUUAAAAAAAGGGCUGAAAAACUAGGCUUAUGCUCAAGUAUAUACAGUAUUUUGUUUAUUUAUACCCCACUUUUUCUCUUCGGAAGGAGACUUACAUUAAACAUUUUGUUGCUGCGCGUUACAUUUGCAAGCAAACACUUUUUUUAGUUUCAGGGUUUUGAAAGUUGACGUUUUGGGGCGGUGGUGGGUUCAACUCGAGAAACUGCAAGUCGCUUCUGGUAUGAGAGAAUUGGCCGUCUACAAAGAGGUUGCCAUGGGGACAUUGCCUGGAUGUUUUGAUGCUUUACCAUCCUUGUGGGAGGCUUGUCCAGCAUGGGGAGCUGGAGCUGAUAGAGGGAGCUCAUCCACGCUCUCGCUGAGUGGUAGUAAUAAUAAUAAUAAUAAUAAUCUGCACACAUCAUCCGAAAAUACAUCACACAGUCCUAGACACUUGGGAAGUGUUUGACUUGUGAUUUUGUGAUACGAAAUCCAGCAUAUUUAUCUUGUUUGCUGUGUCAUACAAUAAAAUAAUAAUAAUAAUACUUUAUUUUUAUACCCAUCUCUCCGAAGGGAUUCGGGGCGGCUUACAUGAGGCCAAGCCCAGAUAAAACAAUAAAACAUAGAGAAACAUCAAAACCAACACAGUUAUUAAAAUCUGACAUUCCAAAACAAAACAAAAGAAAUAAUCAUGUUAAAAGCAUAUUAAAACGUGGAUUUGGCACCCAAGUAAAAGGAUAAAAACGAGCUGGUAAGGAGUUGGCUUCGAACCAGCAACCUCCAGGUCAGCAACCCAGCCUUCAAGUCAUCAGUCCUGCCGGCACUGCGUCACCAGGGAUGCCUAUGAAAAUAGAGGUGCGCAUUAGAUUCGAUGGCACAUGGGAUCUGAGUAAAUACAAUACUAUUGCUGCUCCAGUCUGUCUUCAAGACAUUUCUGAUUUAUGAUGACCCUAAGGUGAACCUAAGAGCCCCUGGUGGCACAGUGUGUUAAAGCGCUGAGCUGCUGAAUUUGCGGACCAAAAGGUCCCAGGUUCAAAUCCCGGGAGUGGAAUGAGCACUCGCUGUUAGCCCCAGCUCCUGCCAACCUAGCAGUUCGAAAACAUGCAAAUGUGAGUAGAUUAAUAGGUACCACUCCGGUGGGAAAGUAACUUCGCUCCAUGCAGUCAUGCCAUUGACCACAUGACCUUUGAGGUGUCUACGGACAACACUGGCUCUUCGGCUUAGAUAUGGAGAUGAGCACAAACCCACAGAGUCGGUCACGACUGGACUUAACGUCAGGGGAAAACUUUGACCUUUUUUAAGGUGAACCUAUCACGGGGUUUUCUGUGGCUGAGAAUAUAGAACGCAUUGCUUUGCACCUUGACCUGGAUCUUUUGACCCAAAUCGGGAUUUUAAUAUUAUUGUGUAUAUUGACUUUUAUGACUGUUUUUAAUCAUGUUGAAGUUUUACUGCUCAGUUUAAUGUUUUAUCUGAUUUGUGCUGUCGUGUCUGGGCAUGGCCCCAUGUAAGCCGCCCCGAGUCCCUCCGGGGAGAUGGGGCGGGAUAUAAGAAUAAAAUUAUUAUUAUUAUUAUUAUUAUUAUUAUUAUUAUUAUUAUUAUUAUUAUUAUUAUUCUACUGGGGUUUACCUCCAGUCCGCACCCUUCAAUGGAUUGCCUUUCUGGAAUAUUUUCAAGCCAUAGAUGGUUGAAUAUAUGGACACGGGUACAGAGAGCUGGAGGCUAUGCGCCAGGAAGGCUAAUCCCGGUCACUGACAAUACACACUACCCUCCAACCCCUGGUCCCUGACGGCACCACUGUUUGUGUGUUCAAUGCGCACAACCGAGCUCAGCGGCAUUAACCCGGCCAAGUUGCACCUGUCACAACAUUGGAAUGGCCAGUGCCUGUUUCCCUGUGCUCGAGCAUCAGGGCUUGGCUGCGCAUUUGCCAUCCCAUCGCCGACAGCCACGCCGCACGUAACACCCGAUUAUUGUCAAGCAGCAAAAGCCUCCCAGGAAGCAGGCUGGCAUUGCCCUGUGACGGCAGAUCUCUGCGUUCAUACAACAAGGGUACGAGGGACAGUGUGCAAUGACGCCGCGGUGCCGCUAAUUCCGACCAAGCCACAAUGUUCCCGCAAAGCCCGGCGAUGCCGUCUCCGGUUCCUCUUGUCAACUGCCAGCUGCAAACCAACCAACCUCCCUCCUCCCUUGCCAUGAAAUGUUAGUUCUACAUCCACACAAGGCGUGUCGACACUUUAUCAUGAUUCCAAGGAACGGGGCGCUUCGGAGAUGAGAGGACGCACCAGGCUCCGCUCAAACAGGGCCAAUUAUGCGAAUUCCCUCCCCGACCUCGGUUGGGCUCUUUGUUUCCACGGGAAGGAAGAUUGAUGGCAGGUGCAUCAAACGUACAGAGAUGGGGAUGUGGAAGGAGAUUUCCAUUGCUAAUGCAUCUCGGCAAAGUUUGUGUGGGCACGGAAAAGAGCCGGGAAUGGAUGUCUCUAUAUUUCACUUUGGGAAAAUGCAAUGUUCUACAACAUAAGACAAUUUACGCCACCCGGCUGUAAUUUAAUUUUAAUUGAAGCAUUCUGCUAUAUUGGAGGAGAGCACUGCAUCUCGCCUGCAAGAGAAGGUGGAGGUUUGACAGAAACAAGAACUUGUUCAGCCUCGUUGUCAUAAACACGGUCUUGGAAGUACCCAAAACUGAGGACUUGUCUCCUUGAUGCAAGCGAGUUCUGCGCAGCUGAAGGACCGUGCGGUAAUCUUGAAGAACAGCGACAAAAGGAGCAGAAGGGGAGACGGGAAGGGGCAGAGGUUGAAGGAGGGGAAACCACAAGAGGAAGAAGCAUUUCCUUAUGUCUUUUCCCCGCUGCCUUUACGUCACAGGUAGAUCCCAGAUGAACAAAGAGCAGUUGCGUUGCGGAGCAAAUUGGCGCCACUUUAAUUGCUAUGUCUCCGGAGUUUAUCGCGCGAGGGAAGCAAGCGAAAAUGGAAGCAAAACUGUUCUCCUUUGGUAUCAGUUGCACAACUCUAUGCGCAUCCCACGGCUCCUCUGCCUCCUCCCUGCAUUAAAUCCAUCCCCUGCUACUGA